CUCAGCGCCAGCCAGCGAAAGCAGAUUUGAAUUUAACAGCUGAUGAUAUGGUGCACUGAGCGUUCUAAUCACGCCGGUGUAAUUGUAUUAAAUAUAGAAAAUAUUAAUCGGCUAUUUUUUAUCUUUUGGAAGCUGCAUUCAAAAUCCACUUGGCUCAAAAAUCUACUUUGAACGGGCAUGACGCCUCUGAGCACAGUGAUACUG